GCGUGAUGCAGUGCUCGCUGCCUGCCGUUGCAGACCCAGCAAUGUGUGCCCUACCUGAGGAGAUAAGUGGAUGCCUCUCAUUUUUUGUCGUGAUGAAAUGCGAAGCUGCUGCUCGCUGCUGAGAGGUGGCAGCUCAUAAUGAGGUUACAUCAGCUGUUCCUGGGAACAGGAAGCUUUCCUGCACCUCUCAGAGUUCUUGUGACUAAGAGCAGGCGUACAAAUAAAGCACAUUGAAAUGUUGACCAUUCAUUGCAGGCGUGGGAUGGCUUACCAGGGCUCCCAGUGGUGUUAAACAUUCAUACGGAGCAGGCUGUGUAAGUACUAAAUUAUGGAAUAGAUGCUCUGCUUCUGUGGGAUGUGCCCUCCUGAAAGGCAGCGAAUGGGGAGCGGAGGCCUGGCAGCAGGGAGCAUCCCUGUCUUACUGGU
rnacentral:lncRNA from 1 species